rnacentral:rRNA from 1 species
UGCGUAGGCGGACUAAUAAGUCAGUGGUGUAAUCUCUCGGCUCAACCGGGAAACUGCCAUUGAUACUGUUAGUCUUGAGUUCGGUUGAGGUAGGCGGAAUGUGUAAUGUAGCGGUGAAAUGCUUAGAUAUUACACAGAACACCAAUUGCGUAGGCAGCUUACUAGACCGACAAUGACGCUGAGGCACGAAAGCGUGGGUAGCGAACAGGAUUAGAUACCCUGGUAGUCC